rnacentral:rRNA from 1 species
UGGGGAAUAUUGCGCAAUGGGCGAAAGCCUGACGCAGCAACGCCGCGUGAGUGAUGAAGGCCUUCGGGUCGUAAAGCUCUGUCGGAGGGAACGAAUGCUCCUGAAGUUAACAGCCUCAGGAGGUGACGGUACCCUCAAAGGAAGCACCGGCUAACUCUGUGCCAGCAGCCGCGGUAAUACAGAGGGUGCAAGCGUUGUUCGGAAUUACUGGGCGUAAAGGGUGCGCAGGCGGUUGCGCAAGUCAGGCGUGAAAUCCCCGGGCUUAACCUGGGAAUGGCGCUUGAAACUACGUGACUAGAGUAUGGCAGAGGGAGGUGGAAUUCCACGUGUAGCGGUGAAAUGCGUAGAGAUGUGGAGGAACACCGAUGGCGAAGGCAGCCUCCUGGGCCAAUACUGACGCUCAUGCACGAAAGCGUGGGGAGCAAACAGGAUUAGAUACCCCCGUAGUCCCUGAGCGGGCUGGCAAGGCGCAU